UACGGGGGGAGCAAGCGUUGUUCGGAUUUACUGGGCGUAAAGAGCGCGCAGGCGGUCGGCCAAGUCGAGUGUGAAAGCCCCCGGCUCAACUGGGGAGGGUCACUUGAUACUGGUCGACUCGAAGGCGGGAGAGGGAAGUGGAAUUCCCGGUGUAGUGGUGAAAUGCGUAGAUAUCGGGAGGAACACCAGUGGCGAAGGCGACUUCCUGGCCCGUUCUUGACGCUGAGGCGCGAAAGCUAGGGGAGCAAACAGG
rnacentral:rRNA from 1 species